UACGUAGGGGGCGAGCGUUGUCCGGAUUUACUGGGCGUAAAGAGCGUGUAGGCGGCCAAGCAGGUCCGUUGUGAAAACUGGAGGCUCAACCUCCAGACGUCGACGGAAACCGCGUGGCUAGAGUCCGGAAGAGGAGAGUGGAAUUCCUGGUGUAGCGGUGAAAUGCGCAGAUAUCAGGAAGAACACCAAUGGCGAAGGCAGCUCGCUGGGACGGUACUGACGCUGAGACGCGAAAGCGUGGGGAGCGAACAGG
rnacentral:rRNA from 1 species